AGUGGAUGGGGAGCAACCUAGUUGUGCGUGUGUAAAGGUAGUGCCAAGAAAAGCGAUGAUCAUGUUGAAAAUCAAUUCCCGGUACCCGAAACCGACACAGGUGGGCAAGUAGAGAAUACUAAGGGGCGCGAGGUAACUCUCUCCAAGGAACUCGGCAAAAUGACCCCGUAACUUAGGGAGAAGGGGUGCCACCGAGAGGUGGUCGCAGUGAAGAGGCCCAGGCGACUGUUUAGCAAAAACAUAGGUCUCUGCAAACUCGAAAGAGGAGGUAUAGGGGCUGACGCCUGCCCAGUGCCGGAAGGUUAAAGAAGUUGGUCAGUCUUAGGAUGAAGCUAGCGACUGAAGCCCCGGUGAACGGCGGCCGUAACUAUAACGGUCCUAAGGUAGCGAAAUUCCUUGUCGGGUAAGUUCCGACCCGCACGAAAGGCGUAACGAUCUGGGCGCUGUCUCGGAGAGAGGCUCGGCGAAAUAGGAUUGUCUGUGAAGAUACGGACUACCUGCAUUUGGACAGAAAGACCCUAUGAAGCUUUACUAUAGCUUGGAAUUGUGUUCGGGCUUCCUGUGCGCAGGAUAGGUGGGAGGCGUAGAAGGUAUUCUUGUGGGGAUACUGGAGCCAACGGUGAGAUACCACUCUCAGGAGGCUAGAAUUCUAACUUAAUUAAGGACAGUUUCAGGUGGGUAGUUUGACUGGGGCGGUCGCCUCCAAAAAGGUAACGGAGGCGUACAAAGGUUCCCUCAGACUGGUUGGAAAUCAGUCUAAGAGUGCAAAGGCAGAAGGGAGCUUGACUGCGAGAAGUACAGUUCGAGCAGGGUGGAAACACGGUCUUAGUGAUCCGACGGUGCUGUGUGGAAGGGCCGUCGCUCAACGGAUAAAAGUUACUCUAGGAUAACAGGCUGAUCUCCCCCAAGAGUUCACAUCGACGGGGAGGUUUGGCACCUCGAUGUCGGCUCAUCGCAACCUGGGGCGGAAGUACGUCCCAAGGGUUGGGCUGUUCGCCCAUUAAAGCGGUACGUGAGCUGGGUUCAGAACGUCGUGAGACAGUACGGUCCAUAUCCGAUGUAGGCGUGAGAAUAUUGAGAGGAGCCUUCCUUAGUACGAGAGGACCGGGAAGGACGCACCGCUGGUGUACCUGUUAUGAUGCCAAUUGUAAACGCAGGGUAGCCAAGUGCGGAGAGGAUAACCGCUGAAAGCAUCUAAGUGGGAAGCCCACCUCAAGAUGAGUAUUCUGGUGUAAGGUCACGGGAAGACGACCCGUAAAUAGGCACGAGGUGGAAGUGCAGAGAUGUAUGAAGCCGAAGUGUACUAAUAGACCGUCGGCUUGACC
rnacentral:rRNA from 1 species